rnacentral:rRNA from 1 species
CUUUCUUUGCUGGCGACCGGCGCACGGGUGAGUAACACGUAUCCAACCUGCCCUUUACUCGGGGAUAGCCUUUCGAAAGAAAGAUUAAUACCCGAUAGCAUAAUGAUUCCGCAUGGUUUCAUUAUUAAAGGAUUCCGGUAAAGGAUGGGGAUGCGUUCCAUUAGGUUGUUGGUGAGGUAACGGCCCACCAAGCCUUCGAUGGAUAGGGGUUCUGAGAGGAAGGUCCCCCACACUGGAACUGAGACACGGUCCAA